CAAACGUAAGGAGGCAGGUUGGGGGGUGGACAAACAAACACAGGACGUCCCCCAGGAGACCGGGGUUCAUGUCCCGUUUGAUGUCCCAACUCUCGUGUAAAUCCAACAUUUACUUUUGGAAAUUAACCAGCUUUGACAUUUGAUGUGAUUUACAUCCAUGACGCAGUUAUGUGCUCAUUUUAGUAGUUUAGACCACCUAAACACCAAGUCAUCACCGAGAACAGAGUGUAUCGACACCAAGACUUUGCGGGGUUGAGACGGAGACUUUGCGGGGUUGAGACGGAGACUUUGCGGGGUUGAGACGGAGACUUUGCGGGGUUGAGACGGAGACUUUGAGGGGUUGAGACGGAGACUUUGAGGGGUUGACCAGACCAGUGCCAGAGAGCCAGAGCUUCUUCUUCUGUCACCUACAUUGAUGUUGAGAGUGUGUGUUAAGGGGGGCAGGGAGAGGGGGACAGACCUUCAACAAGUGGCAUUGUGUGCAGUCUCGAACACUGGUUUCCCGUUACUCAUUUUAAGCCGAUCCCUGAUGUUUUACUCACCUUAAGUAUUUUCCUGCCUAAAACUAAAACAGUUUUAAACAGCAACCUUUUUAUUAAAUAAAAAUGCAUUCUCAUGAACAGGUUCAUAUGAUAUCGCACGAAAACUUAUGCAAAACAUUUCUAUUAGAGGGUAGGAAUAAACCUCGGAUACGGCCGGAUGGAGGAGUGGUUCAAGAGUGCAUUGGCUGUAAGAAGAUAGACGUUAAGAGAAAAGAAGCUUCGGGUCGUCGGUGAAACGCAGGAGGGAAAUGGACAGCCUGAGUUUUAGAGUGAAAGGUUGAGAAGCAGCACACAGACAGAGAGCCUGUUUUCCCUUUGUCUGCGCCCUCAGCACGGCGAUGUGAAACAGAAAUCAACAGAUAAAGUUACCGCCAGGUAAACAAUGCCAUGACGCAGUACGUACACAAGGCAAGCGAGCGGAUGCAUUUGAUUUUUACAGGAAAGAGUUAAAAUAUUCAGCUUUGUAAAGAUCAGUUUCUUCGAUGUGCCAAAUGACUUAAAUCCUAUGUAACAUAAUUACUAGCAUGCUAGCUAUCCUGCUAACGCUAAAAUAUCAAGUAAAAUACGCCUCUCUAACAUGUUUUCAACAGUGCAGGAAAAGCUGGAAGCCUCAAAGUGAACUCUGGCUUUUAAAACUAGGGCUGGGUAUCGCCAAUGGAUUUGUGUCUGUGUCGAGCACUGGACCAAACUCAGAGAUAAUUGUUCCCAUCAGUCACUUAGACCCAGAAACAUGUUGGUCCAGGUUGCGACCAAAGUUUUCCUUUAAAAGGUUUACCCCUGGCGUCCACACUGCUGCCCACAUUUGGUUUGAAAACUCUGGGGUUGAUUCAUAGUCUGGACCAAUACACGACACAAAAA